rnacentral:rRNA from 1 species
CGAAAGCCUGACGGAGCAAUACCGCGUGAGGGAGGAAGGCUCUUGGGUUGUAAACCUCUUUUCUCAGGGAAUAAAAAAAUGAAGGUACCUGAGGAAUAAGCAUCGGCUAACUCCGUGCCAGCAGCCGCGGUAAUACGGAGGAUGCAAGCGUUAUCCGGAAUGAUUGGGCGUAAAGGGUCCGCAGGUGGCAAUGUGUGUCUGCUGUCAAAGAAUGAGGCUUAACCUCAUCAAGGCAGUGGAAACUACAUAGCUAGAGUACGGUCGGGGUAGAAGGAAUUCCUGGUGUAGCGGUGAAAUGCGUAGAGAUCAGGAAGAACACCGGUGGCGAAAGCGUUCUGCUAGACCUGUACUGACACUGAGGGACGAAAGCUAGGGGAGCG